UAGAAGCAGCCAUCAUUUAAAGAGUGCGUAAUAGCUCACUAGUCGAGUGACACUGCGCCGAAAAUGUACCGGGGCUAAACAUAUUACCGAAGCUGUGGAUUGUCCUUUGGACAAUGGUAGGAGAGCGUUCUAAGGGCGUUGAAGCAUGAUCGUAAGGACAUGUGGAGCGCUUAGAAGUGAGAAUGCCGGUGUGAGUAGCGAAAGACGGGUGAGAAUCCCGUCCACCGAUUGACUAAGGUUUCCAGAGGAAGGCUCGUCCGCUCUGGGUUAGUCGGGUCCUAAGCUGAGGCCGACAGGCGUAGGCGAUGGAUAACAGGUUGAUAUUCCUGUACCACCUAUAAUCGUUUUAAUCGAUGGGGGGACGCAGUAGGAUAGGCGAAGCGUGCGAUUGGAUUGCACGUCUAAGCAGUAAGGCUGAGUAUUAGGCAAAUCCGGUACUCAUUAAGGCUGAGCUGUGAUGGGGAGAAGACAUUGUGUCUUCGAGUCGUUGAUUUCACACUGCCGAGAAAAGCCUCUAGAUAGAAAAUAGGUGCCCGUACCGCAAACCGACACAGGUAGUCAAGAUGAGAAUUCUAAGGUGAGCGAGCGAACUCUCGUUAAGGAACUCGGCAAAAUGACCCCGUAACUUCGGGAGAAGGGGUGCUCUUUAGGGUUAACGCCCAGAAGAGCCGCAGUGAAUAGGCCCAAGCGACUGUUUAUCAAAAACACAGGUCUCUGCUAAACCGUAAGGUGAUGUAUAGGGGCUGACGCCUGCCCGGUGCUGGAAGGUUAAGAGGAGUGGUUAGCUUCUGCGAAGCUACGAAUCGAAGCCCCAGUAAACGGCGGCCGUAACUAUAACGGUCCUAAGGUAGCGAAAUUCCUUGUCGGGUAAGUUCCGACCCGCACGAAAGGCGUAACGAUUUGGGCACUGUCUCAACGAGAGACUCGGUGAAAUCAUAGUACCUGUGAAGAUGCAGGUUACCCGCGACAGGACGGAAAGACCCCGUGGAGCUUUACUGUAGCCUGAUAUUGAAAUUCGGCACAGCUUGUACAGGAUAGGUAGGAGCCUUUGAAACGUGAGCGCUAGCUUACGUGGAGGCGCUGGUGGGAUACUACCCUAGCUGUGUUGGCUUUCUAACCCGCACCACUUAUCGUGGUGGGAGACAGUGUCAGGCGGGCAGUUUGACUGGGGCGGUCGCCUCCUAAAAGGUAACGGAGGCGCUCAAAGGUUCCCUCAGAAUGGUUGGAAAUCAUUCAUAGAGUGUAAAGGCAUAAGGGAGCUUGACUGCGAGACCUACAAGUCGAGCAGGGUCGAAAGACGGACUUAGUGAUCCGGUGGUUCCGCAUGGAAGGGCCAUCGCUCAACGGAUAAAAGCUACCCCGGGGAUAACAGGCUUAUCUCCCCCAAGAGUUCACAUCGACGGGGAGGUUUGGCACCUCGAUGUCGGCUCAUCGCAUCCUGGGGCUGUAGUCGGUCCCAAGGGUUGGGCUGUUCGCCCAUUAAAGCGGUACGCGAGCUGGGUUCAGAACGUCGUGAGACAGUUCGGUCCCUAUCCGUCGUGGGCGUAGGAAAUUUGAGAGGAGCUGUCCUUAGUACGAGAGGACCGGGAUGGACAUACCUCUGGUGUACCAGUUGUCGUGCCAACGGCAUAGCUGGGUAGCUAUGUGUGGACGGGAUAAGUGCUGAAAGCAUCUAAGCAUGAAGCCCCCCUCAAGAUGAGAUUUCCCAACUUCGGUUAUAAGAUCCCUCAAAGAUGAUGAGGUUAAUAGGUUCGAGGUGGAAGCAUGGUGACAUGUGGAGCUGACGAAUACUAA
rnacentral:rRNA from 1 species